GCAGUCGUGGCCGAGUGGUUAAGGCGAUGGACUCGAAAUCCAUUGGGGUGUCCCCGCACAGGUUCGAAUCCUGUCGGCUGCG
rnacentral:tRNA from 1 species